rnacentral:tRNA from 1 species
GCCAGCAUGGCGUAGUGGUUUGAGUGUUGAACUAUGACUUGGAAACCAGGGUUUGAUUCCCUGCUUGACC